GACAGAGGGUGCAAACGUUGCUCGGAAUUACUGGGCGUAAAGCGCGUGUAGGCUGACCGGAAAGUCGGGCGUGAAAGCCCUGGGCUCAACCCAGGAACUGCACUCGAAACUCCCGGUCUAGAGUGGUGGAGAGGGAAGUGGAAUUCCUGGUGUAGAGGUGAAAUUCGUAGAUAUCAGGAGGAACACCAGUGGCGAAGGCGGCUUCCUGGACACCAACUGACGCUGAGACGCGAAAGCGUGGGGAGCAAACAGG
rnacentral:rRNA from 1 species